rnacentral:rRNA from 1 species
AGAGUUUGAUCCUGGCUCAGGAUGAACGCUAGCGGCAGGCCUAACACAUGCAAGUCGAACGGUAACAUAAGAGCUUGCUCUUGAUGACGAGUGGCGCACGGGUGAGUAACGCGUAUGCAAUCUACCUAUAACUGAGGGAUAGCCCAGAGAAAUUUGGAUUAAUACCUCAUAACAUUAUUAUUUGGCAUCAUUUAAUAAUUAAAACUCCGGUGGUUAUAGAUGAGCAUGCGUUCUAUUAGCUAGUUGGUGAGGUAAGAGCUCACCAAGGCUACGAUAGAUAGGGGGCCUGAAAGGGUGAUCCCCCACACUGGUACUGAGACACGGACCAGACUCCUACGGGAGGCAGCAGUGAGGAAUAUUGCACAAUGGAGGAAACUCUGAUGCAGCCAUGCCGCGUGCAGGAUGAAGGCCCUAUGGGUUGUAAACUGCUUUUUUACAAGAAGAAACCUUGGUACGUGUACCAACUUGACGGUAUUGUAAGAAUAAGCACCGGCUAACUCCGUGCCAGCAGCCGCGGUAAUACGGAGGGUGCAAGCGUUAUCCGGAUUUAUUAGGUUUAAAGGGUUCGCAGGCGGAAUUUUAAGUCAGUGGUGAAAGCCUACAGCUCAACUGUAGAACUGCCAUUGAAACUGAUAUUCUUGAGUAUAGAUGAAGUGGGCGGAAUAUGUCAUGUAGCGGUGAAAUGCAUAGAUAUGACAUGGAACACCAAUUGCGAAGGCAGCUCACUAAACUAUUACUGACGCUCAUGAACGAAAGCGUGGGGAGCAAACAGGAUUAGAU